GGCAACGUGGCGGAGUGGUUAACGCGACAGCCUGCUAAGCUGUUUCCUUCGGGAGCCCAGGUUCGAGUCCUGGCGUUGUCG